UCACUGCUUGCGCAGGCAGUCUUGUUAGAGUCCCCACCAUAAUGUGCUGGCAACUAACAAUAGGGGUUGCGCUCGUUGCGGGACUUAACCCAACACCUCACGGCACGAGCUGACGACAGCCGUGCAGCACCUGUGCAGGCUCCCUUGCGGGUCCCUUCCGUUUCCACACCGGUCACCAACAUGUCGAGCCCAGGUAAGGUUCUUCGCGUUGCGUCGAAUUAAACCACAUGCUCCGCUGCUUGUGCGGGUCCCCGUCAAUUCCUUUGAGUUUUAGCCUUGCGGCCGUACUCCCCAGGCGGGGCACUUAAUGCGUUAGCGUCGGCACGGGGGGAGUCGACACCCCCCACACCUAGUGCCCAUCGUUUACGGCGUGGACUAC
rnacentral:misc_RNA from 1 species